rnacentral:rRNA from 1 species
AAUGGCCGCAGUAUUUUGACUGUGCAAAGGUAGCAUAAUCAUUAGUUUCUUAAUUAGAAACUGGAAUGAAUGGUUGGACGAGAAAAUAUCUGUCUCUUUUUUAAUUUAUUAGAAUUUUAUUUUUAAGUUAAAAAGCUUAAAUUUAUUUAAAAGACGAGAAGACCCUAUAGAAUUUUAUAUAUUUAAAUUUAAAUAGUUUUAUUAGUAUUUUUAAAAUUUUAGGUUGAAUAUAUUUAGUUGGGGUGAUUAAAAAAUUUAAUAAACUUUUUUUAUAUAAAUACAUUAAUUUAUGAGUUUUUGAUCCAUAUGAAUGAUUAAAAGAUUAAAUUACCUUAGGGAUAACAGCGUUAUUUCUUUGAAGAGUUCAAAUCGAUAAAGAAGUUUGCGACCUCGAUGUUGGAUUAAAAUUUAUUUUUGGUGUAGAAGCUGAAAAAUUGGGUCUGUUCGACCUUUAAAAUUUUACAUGAUCUGAGUUUAAACCGGUGUAAGCCAGGUUGGUUUCUAUCUUUAAAUAAUUAAUAUAUUUUAGUACGAAAGGACCAAAUAUAUGUAAUAGUUAUAAAUAUUUGAAUAUUAUUAAAGAUUUU